rnacentral:rRNA from 1 species
CGUGGGUAACCUGCCCAAGAGAUCGGGAUAACACCUGGAAACAGAUGCUAAUACCGGAUAACAACAGAUGAUGCCUAUCAACUGUUUAAAAGAUGGUUCUGCUAUCACUCUUGGAUGGACCUGCGGUGCAUUAGCUAGUUGGUAGGGUAACGGCCUACCAAGGCGAUGAUGCAUAGCCGAGUUGAGAGACUGGUCGGCCACAUUGGGACUGAGACACGGCCCAAACUCCUACGGGAGGCAGCAGAU